rnacentral:rRNA from 1 species
GACGUAGGAGGCGAGCGUUAUCCGGAUUCACUGGGCGUAAAGCGCAUGUAGGCGGUUGGACAAGUCGUGUGUUAAAGCCCCUGGCUCAACUGGGGGAGGUCAUGCGAGACUGUGCGACUUGAGGGCAAGAGAAGCACGUGGAACUCCCGGUGUAGCGGUGGAAUGCGUAGAGAUCGGGAAGAACACCAGUGGCGAAGGCGACGUGCUGGGUUGCACCUGACGCUGAGAUGCGAAAGUGUGGGGAGCAAACGGG